rnacentral:rRNA from 1 species
CUACGGGACGCUCCAGUGGGGAAUAUUGCACAAUGGAGGAAACUCUGAUGCAGCAACGCCGCGUGGAGGAUGACGCAUUUCGGUGUGUAAACUCCUUUUAUAUGUCAAGAAAAUGACGGUAGCAUAUGAAUAAGCACCGGCUAACUCCGUGCCAGCAGCCGCGGUAAUACGGAGGGUGCAAGCGUUACUCGGAAUCACUGGGCGUAAAGGACGCGUAGGCGGGAUAUCAAGUCAGGUGUGAAAUCCUACAGCUUAACUGUAGAACUGCACUUGAAACUGGUAACCUAGAGUAUGGGAGGGGGAGAUGGAAUUAGUGGUGUAGGGGUAAAAUCCGUAGAUAUCACUAGGAAUACCUAAAGCGAAGGCGAUCUCCUGGAACAUAACUGACGCUAAGGCGUGAAAGCGUGGGGAGCAAACAGGAUUAGAUACCCCGGUAGUC